ACGGGAGGCAGCAGUGGGGAAUAUUGGGCAAUGGGGGAAACCCUGACCCAGCAACGCCGCGUGGAGGAAGAAGGUCUUCGGAUCGUAAACUCCUGUCCUCAAAGACGAGAAGAAGACGGUAUUUGAGGAGGAAGCCCCGGCUAACUACGUGCCAGCAGCCGCGGUAAUACGAGGGGUGCAAGCGUUGUUCGGAAUCACUGGGCGUAAAGGGAGCGCAGGCGGAGAUGCAAGCAGUCUGUACAAUACCGGGGCCCAACCCCGGACCUGCAGACUGGACUGUUUCUCUUGGAUAGUUCAGGGGCAAGCGGAAUUCCUGGUGUAGCGGUGGAAUGCGUAGAGAUCAGGAAGAACACCGAUGGCGAAGGCAGCUUGCUGGGGACUUAUCGACGCUCAUGCUCGAAAGUGCGGGUAGCAAACAGGAUUAGAUACCCUGGUA
rnacentral:rRNA from 1 species